CGUCUAUUGCGUAAAAUCUCAAGAAAAAAAUUAUAAUGCCAAAUUUUAUGCCGCUAUCAAAUCAAGAAAAAUGAAGAUUAUUCUGGGAGGAAACUCGGGUCUGAUCAGAACAGCAGCUGGAGCUCCGAGAGACGGCCAGUGGACGGACACGUCUAACCUCAGUCACGUUCUCACACGUCCUAGUGUCGGAGUGGGUGUACAAACUUUAAACUUGUCUUAGCGUGAUCAUUUUCUUGUUGCAAAUAUUUGCGAGACUUGCUUCUUGAUUUGUCUGUUUCUUUCUUUUUGUAUUUAUUUAUUUAUUCUUAUGGCCGAUGCUUUGGCAAUACUGUACCACAGUCAUGCUAAUAAAGCUUGUUUGAAUUUGAAUCUGAGAGAGAGAGAGAGAGAGAGAGAGAGAGAGAGAGAGAUGGAGUCAGACAGAUGAGUCACCACCAGCAAAAAAUGUUUUAGAAGGAAACCAUGACGAUGAUUCCAAUAUUUGAGGACAGAGCAAACACUACACACGAAACGAAAGCAAGAGAGAGAAGAGAGAGAGGGAGAGAGAGAGAGCAAGAGAGGGAGGGAGAGAGAGAGAGAGAGGAAAAGAGAGACGGAGGGAGAGAGAGAGAGAGAGGGAGAGAGAGAGGGAGGGAGACAGAGAGGGAGGGGGGAGAGAGAGACAACCAAAAAAAUACUUGCAGGGAAACACAGCCAACAUCCCUCAAGAUGUGAACAAUGUGCAAGCAAGAAUAGCUACUCUUACCCACACACACACACACACACACACACACACACACACACAUGCACGCCAGACAGCUUAUAUUUAUGAGAAACAAUUUUUCUGAGUCCUGAGUCUCAGUUGGAUACGAGGCCAAAACGCGGCUGUCAGCUGAGGUGAUGAACUCUGUGACCCAGUUUCCUGAGCAGAACUCUGAUGCUCUUCAGAUCCACUGGCAGGUGGGUCACCAUUAGCAACAACAAAACAAAAUAAACACACACAACAACAACAACAACAACAACUUGGGGCAAGUGGGCUGGAAAAACACUCACACACUUAAGGACAGAACACAGUACCGGGUGUUUUUAAUACCCCGCUGAAUGCCGGGCCCACUUCUGCAGAACCCCACGGUUCUACAAUGACGUCCUCGUGCUCAACCAGUCCUGCUCAGACCGCCGGAGUGUGUGUGUGUGUGUGUGUGUGUGUGUGUGUGUAGUGAGUGUGUGUAUGACGUACAGAACCACGAUCGUGAGCACGAGCCGCCGCUGAGAGAAACGCUACAGUUUUAUUGGCUUAAAGAGAUGAAACAUGAAAGAAGACUCUAAAGCAUCAGAAAUGCUCAUCAGGUUUCGGGAAUAGCUUGGAUCUGGGCGUGGCCUCAGGGCUCAUUAGCUCCCCCUAAGAAGAAACCCUCAAACAGCAAGUGAGGCAUAAUCCCAAAGUAUAUUUGUGUGAUAUGGCUCAUCCUAGGUGCUUGGGCCCACAUAUCGCUUCUCACAGGUAUAUUACAUUUAUUAUGUUGUUUGUUUGUUUAGUUUUGUAACAACUGAUUGAUGAACACUGAUUGCUUUCAUCUUUAUAUAAGCGCAUGUUGUAGGGGGCAUGGCCAUGCUUGAGCAGUAGUAGGUCACAUGACCACAUGUCCUUAUUCUGUACCUGUGCUAGGAACUCGCCCUUUUAUAUGCCCUCUCCAGCUGUGGCUCCGCCCACCCACCCUCACCUGCACCUGUUGCCCGUUUAAAGCCUUAAGGCGAUACGAGUACACGCCCAAUAAAGAGAUGAAUAAUAUAAAGUCAGUUACAGUGGUGGGAGGAACCCGGAGAACCCGGAGAACCUGGAGAACCUUGAGAACCUGGAGAACCCAUGUAGUUUGCCUGUAAAUGUAUUUACUGUUAUUUAUAUAACAAAGGUUGAAAUUUCUAUCCAGUGAG